GACCGAAAAAAGAUCUACGAUGGUUAUCCAACGAAAAAAGACCUACGAAAACUAACCAGCGACAAAAAAACCUAAACCUAUCGCCCGCACGGACGAUCGACGACUCCUGCCCUCGAGUGAGGUCUCCCUUCGCCGCCGCCGCUCCACCCAGAGCCGCCCUCUUCCCCGCUGGCGCCGCCCUCUUCCCUCCCACCCCGAGCUGUCGUCUUCCCCGCCCACGCCGCUCUCUUCCCCGCCGGCGCUGCCAUCCACUCACCUUCUGUUCUUCAAGCGGGGACGCCCCAGAUCGAGUCGAGCAAGUCAGCGGGGCAGCAGCCAGAUCCGCCAUGGCCACAUCUCGUCGAGAUGGGCUGCGCCGGGAGAGGUAGAUCGAGGCGGCGGGCAACGUGUGCGUCUUGUCUCUUGGGACGCCGCUCCGACCCGAUCCGGCGAGGAGGCAGCCUCCGUGUGCGGCAAUGAGGGCGGCGGCCGGCUGCGCGAAAGGUCGAUCUGAUUGUGCCUCGUCACACCCCUUCCCUGGGCUGCACUUUCUUUGCCUGUUAAGCAAUUGAUAUACAUAGUGGAGCAAGAAUUAACACCAUGGAAGGGGAGAAAUACAGUACAGGCACUACGUAUUUUAAAUUUUGCAUGUGGGCUCAGGCGUGGCAGCGUCAGCGGCCUCCGACGCUCCUCGGCUCAGCCGCCGCCGACCUACCAUGCCCAAAAUCCUCGCGAGCAGUGUCACUCCUUCCCCUCACCGUGGUACCUUCCUCUUCCGUGUUACUUUUUUUCUUCUGAACAUGCAGUUGUUUUGGUCCAUCAUUGUUCUCAUAAAAGUACAUUCUUAAGGAUGAGCAAACUUCUGUGAUGUUGUGACGCGAAGUGCCUGAUGCCUUGAUGUCUUACUUUAAAUUCGUUUUACAUGCAUGAGCAGGACUUCACACUAGGAUGGGAGCAACCUGCAUCUUUCGAAUGUACUGAACUAAUAAAUAACUACGUACUUUUGAACUGAAUAUCCUCCGGCAAUUGGCGUCAGCAUUGACUAUGCCACUGUCAAAUGCAUGUUUGUUUAAUCAUAAUGAUUUCUUCAUCCCUUUAGUUAGAAGAAUCAAAAGGAGUUAAUAAGCUUCUAAGCUCUUUAGUCUGCAUUUUUCUUUGUAGUUCCUUUUUUUACUCAGAUUGUGCAACGUCAAUGGUCUCUACCCUGAAGAGUCAAGAUUACAUUGUUACUGACUUGCAAGGCUCUAUUAUGUUUCGAGGUGAAGAAGUAUUUACCUCUUGAGUUGUUGAUCAUUUUCUUUGGCUUGACUCUAUAUGCAACCCUUUCGUACCAUUUACCUGCAUUAACUUGAGCAAUAAUAUCUGUACCAUUUACUUUACUGUUAAUUACAGAAGAAGAUAAAACCAAUGAGUUAACUAAGCAAGAUUUGCAGGUGCAAUGGAUUGAUUGAUUGAUGAAUCAAUCACAGCUGCUAGAAGAAGAAAGAAUCAGGCGUGCAUCAUGGAUGAUGGAUCUUGGAGUGCGGGGUGAGAACAAAGGUGAUUUAUUGGAGUGAUAUAAGCAAACUCAGGCACGUUUCCUUUCCUCACAUUUUGAAGAUCCAAGCAGAAUGGAUCUAUUAUUAGUAGCAUCGUCACCUUCAAAUCCAAUGUUUUUUUAGGCCACUCCUGUGUUUGUCUCUUUCAAACUAAUCUGGUUUAAACAGUAGAUCAUUACUAUUUUACCUACUUGAUUCUUAAUGCUUGUAUUUCUUAAAUUUUCCUAGGAGAAUGGGAAUUACAUCUAGAGCUACAGUUUGUGAUUUAAGGAUCUGCUAGGCAUGUCAUGGCAAGUAAUUUUACUUGGCAAUUGCCAUGCUCCAGCAUAAAUCAUGUUCUGUUGCAGCACCUGACAUUUAGGUACCUUGAUUCAUGGAUGUACGAUAGGCCUGAAGCUUGAGCAGUUCAUAUUCGACAUAUCCAUUUAAUCCCUGUCCAUGACACUUUUUGAGGUGCUACACGAAGAGGAAUUUGCGCCAGUGAAGAACGCGAAUGGCACAACCUAUGACACCUGAUGCUACUCCAACUGCAUAGCGGAUGGGUAAUUUCUCACCAUUUCCUGUACCCAGAAACUUGUAGAAUUAAAUUACAAGUCAGGCCUUUCAACAUAGAACUUUUAUGAUCAUCUUUCUCAUGAUCCCUUUCCCUCAUAAGCUUCGAGGUUUCUCCUCUCAGCUCCUAUGCCGGAGAAAGCCUUGAGACGAUUUUUCACGGACGAGGAUUCCACAUUCCCGGUGAGAUUUCGCUAUAGGCGCAUCAUGUCAUGGCAGCAGCAACAUCAAAUGGGAGAUGCAAUGUUGCAAGGCCGAAACCUUGGGAUACAUUGGGUUUCGACUUACAUGUUACAGGAUAUGCGUAGACGUAAGUUUGACUUUCAGAUAAUACAUGCCAAACACUUUUAAAGUUGUGUCGUGCAUGACAGUGGAAACAUCUGUGUAUUGCACAGGAUCCUACAGAGCAGAUGGGCACAUGUAUGUGUGGAGACUCUGAAAAGAUGAACACAUGUAUGUGUCCGGUUAUUCUGAAGCUAUUUAAUAUAUUAGUUGUGUCAAGAGGUCAAGUCCAGGUCCCUCAUGUCAAGUCUAUAAGUUUCACUCGAAAGAAUAAAAUGCUCUCAAGGGUCGUACUGAAAAAAGAACUACAUUAGCAAGUUGAUUCAAUAAUCCAUCCUCUGUUUUGCACCUCGUUUGUUAGUUAUUUAGUUAUGGCCAGGGUGGGAGUAUUGAUCACUAUUUCUUGACAAAGUUUUGGGUGAAGGAGCAAAUUGGCAGUAAUCAGUGCGAUCCUACCGGCAGUGGUUUGCGAGUAUACAUGGAUAGGAAAUGAGAUGAGAUCAAAUCUCAUGAUUCCAUCUCGUCCCGGUCCCGGGCGGACGGGGUGUCAGGGUGAGUAGUUUGUUUGUUCGACCCUCAUUCUGUGGUGCCCAUGAAAUAUGCAACACAUGUACCAUGAAGGGGGUUAUUUAGUGUGACAACUCAUACUUGUUGUCCUAAGGGCUGCUUUAUAAAAGCUUUGUACCAAAUUUACUGAAUUAGAAAUAACAGUUGAUAGAGCUGGUAUGUUAAUCUCAUAGCCCUGACCUUGAACAUUUUCUUCUUUCGUCCUAUAUAUGCACACUUACCUUCCUGCAACUGUAUGUACAUCCUCUGUAAGGAAAUAUAGGAGCAUUUAGAAUACUAAAGUAGUGAUCUAAAUGCUCUAAUAUUUCUUAUUAACUAGCCAAUUGCUUUCAUUUAAUUAUCAUUAUUCUGGAACAUGUUGCUCACGUGAUAUUAAACAUUUUAAUUAGAAUAAGCUAUCCAAGAAGGUUUUAUUAGGAAAAUUUAGUUUAUGUGACUUUUUUUAUUUGAACAAGCUACGCAUCUCCAUUUUUUCAUUUUUAGUUGUUUAUUUGUAUAGUUGAAACAUUAGUUUGAUGUGAGUUUCAGCUACCUGCUUGUUAUUGAAACUGCAAGAACUCGCUAGCUUUUGUCAAAAGAAAUGGAAUGUGAUGGAAGUAAAAGAAGAUAAGGUGUUUUUGUUGAUCCUUGUGUCUGAUUUUAGGGUGUGUGCGUGUGCCUAAUCACUGUAAAUAGUAAAUACUCUACAUCUAUGACAGCGAAAUCCUUGUGAAUAUGGACAGAUGGAGAUGUAUGAACGGGCAGUUCUUGCAGUUACUUAUUCAGUGGACAUAUGGUGUAAUUAUUGUCAGUUUGCGAUUUCAACAUACAAUGACCCAGAUGUCAUCAGAACAUAGCAAUUGAAUACCGAGACUAUUCUGAUGAAGUUUUUUUAAUAUAUUUUUGUAGUGUCUUGACUUUUGUUAACUACCGCAUUUUAGGAUGUAUGUGUAUAGGAAUACAUACAUGGCAAGAAGGGAUUUUACAAUACCUAGGACCUGGACAGGAAUGCUUGAUGAAAUGCUUCAUAAUAUUUUAGCACUGUUUUUCGGCAGUCCUUGUGGUAGGAAAGUUAUCCAUUCUUCGAAAACUCAUCUACUACUACUCACCUUGUAGAAUUUUUUAUUCUGCUGCAUAUUUGGUUUUAUCAUAAAAUGAAUGGAUUAUUCUGAAAUACAGUGUAACCCCUCCCCCCCUCUCAACGAUUAUUAUUUUAGCAUUUAUUUAUUAUUAUUCUUUUGCCUCUUGCUAUUGCUUGCUAAAGGCACAUGCAUACACAAAUCUUUCCUCGUGCCAUUGUUUCUUCUGCAAGCACCUAGCAGUGUAAUUUCAUGAAUCAAAGUAAGAUUCUGCUAUUUGGCCCAAAGAAUUAUCUGAUGAUACCUUUUCCCCUUUCCUUGCUAUAGCUACUGGAUGUUUAUUCUUUUUGAGACAAGAACACUUACUUUUGGCCUACUUAUACUAUCAUGUCGAUUCCUAAUUUAGGAGUGAAUAUGGGCCGUGGACUGCUUUUCUUGCGUUUGCGGUGUGUUUGUUCUUACCCUUUCCAGGUAGAGUAACAUGAAAGAUCAAUAAGUCCUGCUUAAAAGUUUGAUGCACUGUUUGAGCAGUGAUUUUGUUUUUUAUGGUGAGAGUUCCUCGGAUGUUAUUUUUCGCUCAAAUUUUGCAAGAAGCUCAAGCAUUUGAUAAUUAUUUUGUCUCAAAAUUUCAGAUUUUUUGGAUUUUGUUUUAUCAUGUUUUUUCAGUGUUUUUCGAAAUUCGGUGUACUACACUCGAGAGUUGUCACACCUUUCUAUAUAUCUCAUGGUUUUGUGGCUUAUGCCUUGGAAGCUUUUUGCCAAUGCACAAGUGCAAAGUCCUUUCAUUUUCCUCCUGUAUCCUCAGUUGCGUACUAUAACAUUUGACUAUGUGUCGUGUUGGUCUCAAUGGGCUGGCACAGUACUACAGACUAUGGCUAAAGGCUAUGUUUACAAACAUAAAAUAAUGAUUCAAAGAAGAGGAGCAGACGGUGCUACGAUAUUUACCUCAAGGUGAUGAAUCAAUGAACCGAGGGACUUAUUAUUCGGUGAGGCCAGCGGGGUAUUCCAUUUCCUGCAUUUCCUCUUCAGUAUGCUGACUCCAAUCUCCAGAGUCCUCGAUGAUUCUUUCUUAGUCCAUUUAAAUGGGUAUUAUUUUUACCAGUUGGUACACGUUUUUCUUUCAAUAUGCACUCUCACAAUAAUAUAUUUUUUCUGUUCUUCAAAUUGAUUUGUUGAUGGUACAAGGGAAUCAUUGAAAAAAUGUCUUCUCAUCAAGGAUUGGAUUGUGUUCUCAUUAUAGAACAUAAUUUAUUAUGUGAGGCAUUUGCCAUUGCAACAUCUUGUCUAGGGUAUAUUUUUUCCAUUAAACUGAACUGCCUCGCAAAAAAAUUGUAUGUAAUACCCUCUUCUCCAUAAAUAAAUGACAUCUGCUUGGGCAGUAGGUCAUGCUUGGCAGAAUCGCCUCCUCCCGGUCUUCAGCACUCCUGCAGGAAUUGAGCGCCAGUGUGGUCGGGACACAUAGAACACCAACAAGGGAAAAAAACGCACCACUCCUAGGUCAUGCUUGGCAGAAUCGCCUCCUCCCGGUCUUCAGCACUCCUGCAGGAAUUGAGCGCCAGUGUGGUCGGGACACAUAGAACACCAACAAGCGACAAAAACGCACCACUCCAAUAUGCAGCCAGAGUUUGGGCAAUGAUCAAAACGUGGCUUGGUUUACAUGAUGUUCAUCCUACGGACUGGGGAGGCAUGGUUUCCGUCAAGGAGUGGUGGCGCAGCAACACUUAAGGGAGGUCGCAAUCUCGAAGGCCGCUUGUUUCCCUUAUUCCUAUCUCUUGGGAAAUCUGGAAUGAGCGAAAUGCUCGGGUGUUCCGCAACAAUGCGACUCCGGUCGUUGUGCUUGUGACACAUCAAAGCGGAGGCAUCAUCGGGGUGCCUUGCCGGACGAAAUAUUUGUGUAAUAUAAUGCCGCGAGAGUGAUUCUUAAAAUCUUCGUCUUAUUCAAUGAAAAUGACAAGCCUUUGGACUUGUUUCAACAUAAUAUGGACCCGAAUGGAGUGAAAUGUUUAAUAUGUGCAUACCAUUUCUGGAUUGAGAGAUCUAUUUACUGAUGGCUGGUUUUUAAAGAUGUCUUAUAAAGUUGUGAAAUUCUACGAGAAAAGGCUUAUGAGUGGAAUUAAUGAGGACGGUGCUUGUGAAGUUUCCUCCAUAGCUCUUUUGCAAUCAAUCAUUCGUCUGUUAUUAUGGUUGUUCCAUUGUAUGCAUGCACAUUGGAAGGCAGAAAGUAAUGUUGGCUGGUCGCCAGAGAAGUAAAAAGGCCAACAUCUUGAGCUGUAUGGAGCAUGGUUGUUUUCUUAAAGUUUCUGAUGGAUUGUAUACCAUUGACUGAGAGGAAUCGUUCAUUCAUGAGAAUGGGACAAGAGCAUUGCUAGAUGGAAUUCGGCUGAGUGUAAGUACACAUGAGAGGUGUGUUUUCAUUGAUAGAGGAAGGGUGAGAGCAUGACACUUGUACAG